rnacentral:lncRNA from 1 species
CCCGGCCCUGGAAUUUUUAUUUAUUAAUGUUCAUUUGUCUGUUGUACUUGUUCUGGGUUAAGUAAGAUGUACAGAAAAACUUCAUUUCUGUUCCAGGAAGCUUGCAAGUAGAAAAAUGUUUUCUUCUGUCUUCUGACUGCUUCAUUUCUCUGAACAAAGCAGAUUCACAGAGUGGACUUGUGAAGCAGCUGUUCUGUCCUGUUCAGGUGUCUUCUGGCAGCAUGGGCUCUGGUUCCGGGCCUGAGUGGCAGCACAUUCAGCUGGCAGGGGCAUCUCUCCCCUGGAUCACGUCGUGUUUGUCUACACAUGGCAGAUUUCUUGAGGUUUGGAGAACUUUGAGGUUUUAAUUAGAAGAAUACUAACCAGUACUACAAUUUACACAAAUGCGGUCUGGAAAGAAAGAGCAGCAUAUCUAAGUCAUUGAAACUGACCCUUAAGUGUGUAUUUAAGGCGUCAAUGUAUUUAGUUAUUUUCAAGAGAAAGCCAAUAAAGCAGGUUUUAGUAUUUCUAGAGUUGUAUAUUAUAUGGUAAUAUUUCUAGAAGAAAAAUUGGAUCCCCCUUUUUUUUUUGAUACCAAGGAUGGAACUUGGGUCUUUGCACUUGCAAGACAGGUGGCGCAACCACUGAGCUAAAUCCCCAGCCCGAUAAAUGCUAUAUUGAGAUGAAAGAACUUUAUAAUGUGCUUAAUAAGAUGAGACAGUUGUGAACCAGAAUAUCAAAAAAGGCCUUCAAAAAUAUUUUAAAAGCAAAAUCAAAAUGAAGUAGGCAAGUUUAUGUUCUUGUGGGGCAUUUGUGAAUGCUUUCAUCAUUGUUCACCAUAUGCAUAGCCAUACAAAAAUGAGUUUGAGUUCAAAACUAACAUUAUUUUGGUGAUUAUUAAUUGUACAAGUGUAUCAGAAAAGAAUUUUUAGGUCCAUUUUUUGAAUGUCACAUUGCUCAGUGUGCCCAUCACUUUUUUUUUUUUUUUUUUUUUUUUGGUACUGGGGAUCGAACUUGGGACCUUGUGCUUGCUAGGCAGGCACCGGAACCACUGAGCUAAAUCCCCGGGCCUUGAGUAUUUUUUGAGACAGGGUCUCUCACUGUGUAGUCCAGGCUGGCCUCGAACUCCUGGUGAUCCUCCUGCCUCAGCCUCCUGAGUGCUGGGAUCACAGGUGUUCUCCACCACACCAGGCUUAAGUGGGUAUUUAAAUAGGAGAAGUUCUUUUAGGGGCACAGUUGGAGAGUGAUGAAAGCAUGAUAAUUAAGGUCACUUUUAAAAAACAUGAUAAUAUAUAAGGAGAUAUUUAGAAUUUGUCCUUAGGCUGUAUAUCCUUGGGGGUGAAUCUGGCUAUGCUGAGCAUACCCCCUAAUUGUCUGAAUCAGAGAGGUAAUUUUUGUACUUUGUGACAUAUAACCUGUCUCAGUGUCUCCACUGAAAGUCAUUUUUAGCUCUGUAGAAUUAAAAUAUUAAGAACAGAAAGAGAUUGAAUGACGUUUCCUGCUUUCAGCAGAACAGGACAAACCUCCUGAGACGUGGCCAUAUGGAAGCAUCCUGCUUCAGUGCCCAUGUGUUUGGGGUGAGGCUGGGGCAGAUGGUGCAGGCAGGGUUCUUGGCUGCUUGGACAGGAGUUAGAAGCGGGUGGAAGUUACAUGC